UACGAAGGGGGCUAGCGUUGUUCGGAUUUACUGGGCGUAAAGCGCACGUAGGCGGAUCGUUAAGUCGGGGGUGAAAUCCUGGAGCUCAACUCCAGAACUGCCUUCGAUACUGGCGAUCUUGAGUCCGGAAGAGGUGAGUGGAACUCCUAGUGUAGAGGUGGAAUUCGUAGAUAUUAGGAAGAACACCAGUGGCGAAGGCGGCUCACUGGUCCGGUACUGACGCUGAGGAGCGAAAGCGUGGGGAGCGAACAGG
rnacentral:rRNA from 1 species